rnacentral:rRNA from 1 species
UACCCUGGUAGUCCACGCCGUAAACGAUGUCGACUUGGAGGUUGUGCCCUUGAGGCGUGGCUUCCGGAGCUAACGCGUUAAGUCGACCGCCUGGGGAGUACGGCCGCAAGGUUAAAACUCAAAUGAAUUGACGGGGGCCCGCACAAGCGGUGGAGCAUGUGGUUUAAUUCGAUGCAACGCGAAGAACCUUACCUGGUCUUGACAUCCACAGAACUUUCCAGAGAUGGAUUGGUGCCUUCGGGAACUGUGAGACAGGUGCUGCAUGGCUGUCGUCAGCUCGUGUUGUGAAAUGUUGGGUUAAGUCCCGCAACGAGCGCAACCCUUAUCCUUUGUUGCCAGCGGUCCGGCCGGGAACUCAAAGGAGACUGCCAGUGAUAAACUGGAGGAAGGUGGGGAUGACGUCAAGUCAUCAUGGCCCUUACGACCAGGGCUACACACGUGCUACAAUGGCGCAUACAAAGAGAAGCGACCUCGCGAGAGCAAGCGGACCUCAUAAAGUGCGUCGUAGUCCGGAUUGGAGUCUGCAACUCGACUCCAUGAAGUCGGAAUCGCUAGUAAUCGUGGAUCAGAAUGCCACGGUGAAUACGUUCCCGGGCCUUGUACACACCGCCCGUCACACCAUGGGAGUGGGUUGCAAAAGAAGUAGGUAGCUUAACCUUCGGGAGGGCGCUUACCACUUUGUGAUUCAUGACUGGGGUGAAGUCGUAACAAGG